GAUGAACGCUAGCUACAGGCUUAACACAUGCAAGUCGAGGGACCGGCGCACGGGUGUGUAACACGUAUCCAACCUGCCCUUUACUCGGGGAUAGCCUUUCGAUAGAAAGAUUAAUACCCGAUUUAAAGGCUGGGGAUGCGUUCCAUUGGGUUGUUGGGGAGGUAACGGCUCACCAAGCCUUCUCUGGCGAGGGGUUCUGAGAGGGAGGUCCCCCACAUUGGAACUGCGACACGGUCCAAACGCGUACGGGAGGCAGCAGAGAGGAAUAUUGGUCAAUGGGCGCUAGCCUGAACCAGCCAAGUAGCGUGAAGGAUGAAGGCUUAUGGGUCGUAAACUACUUGUAUAUAAGAAUAUGUAUUAUAAGAAUAAGGAUCGGCUAACUCCGUGCCAGCAGCCGCGGUAAUAG
rnacentral:rRNA from 1 species